AUGUGGAUGCACAGAGGGCACAAUAAUCCUCUGCCCUGUCACACCCACUGGUCUGACUGGAGUUCACCAGUAAAAACCAUCCCAUGGCAGCAAGAAGGGCUGAGGGGCACAUGGAGCUGGGGAAAACACCCACAAUCAGGGAAAUCCAGUGGAGGAAUUCUGCCAGCAGUGAAACUCUCCAUUUGGAAUUCUGUGGAAUUCCCGCAGCUCCAGCUCAGCCUGCACAAGCUCCCAGCUGGAUCCCCGUUGCCAAAGGCCAGGACACGUUCUGAGGUGCUCUGCUGGAAAAAGCUGUUGGAGCACAGAGCUGCCCCUUUUUCCUGGGCAGCAGGUGCACAAACCUCCAUCCAAAACACGAUUUGCAUGGAAUUGGCAUCACCUGUGGAGGCAGAGCCAUCGUUUUGGGGCGGGAACAAAGGAAAUGGGAACGUUCCUCCCUGAUCAAAUGUCCACUUUUAUAAUCCCUGUCUGCUAAUCCACCACAUCCAGGCCAGCAAUCAGUGCAGACUCUGUUUUUCAUCGUGGUGCUCAAUGCAGAAAAAAAAGAAUAAAAAUGAAGUGAGACAGUAUUAUAUUUCA
rnacentral:lncRNA from 1 species